rnacentral:lncRNA from 1 species
UAUGUAGUAGCAGUCCAUAACCUUCAAUGUAGUUCUCUCCAGUUUCUUUUGAAUCUUAGGAUAAAGGAGGCAUAUAAUUUUGUCUAAUUUUUCUCUUUUAGCUUGGAACCGCUGCAUCAAUAGUCUCCUAAUAGUCUCUAACAAGGUGAUAAUAGGCUUAUCUCGAUCAUUCACUAUAUACUUGUUGAAGGACUCGUAUAUAUUGUUCAAUAACAUGCUGGACUUAAUUUUAGGACUGAAGGUAUGCUUUGACCACAACUCAGGUGGCUGCUGUUUGAACUAUUAUCAUAUAGUCUCACCUACCAAUUG